GACGAACGCUGGCGGCGUGCCUAAUACAUGCAAGUUGAGCGAUGAAGCUUGGUGCUUGCACCAAUUUGAAGAGCAGCGAACGGGUGAGUAACACGUGGGGAAUCUGCCUUUGAGCGGGGGACAACAUUUGGAAACGAAUGCUAAUACCGCAUAACAACUUUAAACAUAAGUUUUAAGUUUGAAAGAUGCAAUUGCAUCACUCAAAGAUGAUCCCGCGUUGUAUUAGCUAGUUGGUGAGGUAAAGGCUCACCAAGGCGAUGAUACAUAGCCGACCUGAGAGGGUGAUCGGCCACAUUGGGACUGGGACACGGCCCAAACUCCUACGGGAGGCAGCAGUAGGGAAUCUUCGGCAAUGGACGAAAGUCUGACCGAGCAACGCCGCGUGAGUGAAGAAGGUUUUCGGAUCGUAAAACUCUGUUGGUAGAGAAGAACGUUGGUGAGAGUGGAAAGCUCAUCAAGUGUCGGUAACUACCCAGAAAGGGACGGCUAACUACGUG
rnacentral:rRNA from 1 species